UAACAAGGAUUCCCCUAGUAACUGCGAGUGAAGCGGGAAAAGCUCAAAUUUAAAAUCUGGCGGCUUCGGCAGCCCGAGUUGUAGUCUGGAGAAGCGUUUUCUGUGCCGGACCGUGUACAAGUCUCUUGGAACAGAGCGUCGUAGAGGGUGAGAAUCCCGUCUUUGACACGGACUGCCGGUGCUUUGUGAUGCGCUCUCGAAGAGUCGAGUUGUUUGGGAAUGCAGCUCAAAAUGGGUGGUAAAUUCCAUCUAAAGCUAAAUAUUGGCGAGAGACCGAUAGCGAACAAGUACCGUGAGGGAAAGAUGAAAAGCACUUUGGAAAGAGAGUUAAACAGUACGUGAAAUUGCUGAAAGGGAAACGCUUGAAGUCAGUCGCGUCCGCCGGAACUCAGCCUGGCUUUUGCUCGGUGUAUUUUCUGGUGGACGGGCCAGCAUCAAUUUCGAUCGUCGGACAAAGGCCUCGGGAAUGUGGCACCUUCGGGUGUGUUAUAGCCUGGGGUCGCAUACGACGGUUGGGAUUGAGGAUCUCAGCGCGCCUUUAUGGUCGGGGUUCGCCCACGUCCGCGCUUAGGAUGCUGGCGUAAUGGCUUUAAACGAC
rnacentral:rRNA from 1 species